ensembl:antisense Gm43964 predicted gene, 43964
GGGCAAUCCAGUGGUAAUAGACAUCUUCAUGGGCACCCUGAGACUAGGACAGAGCCUGCAAGGAGGGGAUAGGAAGGCUGAGGGCACAAAGGAGAGUCACCUCCCUUCAUCUCGGAUGUUCCCGUCCCAGCCCUCGAGCUCCCUGGUAGUGAUAAAGAGUGAAAAUACAUUCAAGAGAUAAGAGCUCAAUGCCAGGGCUGGGGGUGGAACCCAGGAACACACGCUAAUUGAGUGCUUUGCCGCUGAGGAACAUCCGAUUCCUCGCAUGCAUAAUAUAUAUCCAAACUGGCAGGACAACACA